rnacentral:rRNA from 1 species
GAGUUUGAUCCUGGCUCAGAUUGAACGCUGGCGGCAGGCCUAACACAUGCAAGUCGAGCGGUAACAGAAAGAAAGCUUGCUUUCUUUGCUGACGAGCGGCGGACGGGUGAGUAAUGCCUGGGAAUAUACCCUGAUGUGGGGGAUGACUAUUGGAAACGAUAGCUAAUACCGCAUAAUCUCUUAGGAGCAAAGAGGGGGACCUUCGGGCCUCUCGCGUCAGGAUUAGCCCAGGUGGGAUUAGCUAGUUGGUGGGGUAAUGGCUCACCAAGGCGACGAUCCCUAGCUGGUCUGAGAGGAUGAUCAGCCACACUGGAACUGAGACACGGUCCAGACUCCUACGGGAGGCAGCAGUGGGGAAUAUUGCACAAUGGGGGAAACCCUGAUGCAGCCAUGCCGCGUGUAUGAAGAAGGCCUUCGGGUUGUAAAGUACUUUCAGUUGUGAGGAAGGCGUUGGAGUUAAUAGCUUCAGCGUUUGACGUUAGCAACAGAAGAAGCACCGGCUAACUCCGUGCCAGCAGCCGCGGUAAUACGGAGGGUGCGAGCGUUAAUCGGAAUUACUGGGCGUAAAGCGCAUGCAGGCGGUCUGUUAAGCAAGAUGUGAAAGCCCGGGGCUCAACCUCGGAACAGCAUUUUGAACUGGCAGACUAGAGUCUUGUAGAGGGGGGUAGAAUUUCAGGUGUAGCGGUGAAAU